AUAAAAACAACAUCUUUCCCUUUUUGCUUAUCUAAACCUAACCCAAUGCCAUUAUCAACUACAAUCUUUCUAAAGCUCUCCAGAUUUUAUUUAGUAAUAAGGUACUCUUCAUCCACAUCUGAAUCAGGAAUAUCAGAUGAUAGACUGUCUUCAUUAUCACAUUCCUCACUAACAGGGAUGUAAUCUUCAUCCUCAAUAAAUUCUUC
rnacentral:lncRNA from 1 species